rnacentral:lncRNA from 10 species
UGUCCUCUUUGUUUCAAAGUUAAACUAUGAGUAAGUUCCUCUCAAAGUUAGUUUGGCCUACACCCAAGAAUGAACAAGGACAGGUUAGACUCUAAUCUAGAAAUCUAGAAGCAAGAUGGAGUUGGUUAGGGCAGAUUUUUUUUUUUUUUUGAGACAUAGUUUCGCUCUGUCAUCCAGGCUGGAGUGCAGCGGCGCGAACUCUGGCUCACUGCAAGCCCCGCCUCCCAGGUUCGCGCCAUUUUCCUGCCUCAGCCUCCUGAGUAGCUGGGUCUACAGGCGCCCGCCAUCACGCCCGGCUAAUUUUUUGUGCUUUUAAUAGAGAUGGGGUUUCACCGUGUUAGCCAGGAUGGUCUUGAUCUCCUGACCUCAUGAUCCGCCCUCCUCGGCCUCCCAAAGUGCUGGGAUUACAGGUGUGAGUCACCGCGCUCGGCCAGGGCAAAUCUCUUUAACUAUUAUAAUUUUCUCAGUUAUAAUCUUGCCAUGGUGGUUUCAAAAGGUGACUGGAAGAAAGCGGAAGGAAUGCUUGCCUCAUCUUGCAGACAUCAGGUGCAUUCCUGAGAAGCUACAGGUGCACAACCUUAGUCAGGCUCUGGGGAUACAGAAGUAACAAGAAGACCAGACCCUUGUUCCAAUGGAGGAGACAUCCUGAAGAUCUUGAUGACCCCCUAUGCAAUGUUCUCAACCUAAUUUCAACAACUGAUAUGGGUGCCAGUCUCCAAAGACGGUUCCCCAAUGAGGCACACCUCCUGGUAUUUCAUCCUUGGGUUGUCUUCUUCCAUAUUUUGACCAACAGAAUGGGAUGAAAGUGAUGCAGUGUAGUCCACAUGAAGGCUUAUUCCUACCAGCUGGAUCUUUUGAAAUGCAUGCUAUUGAAUUACUCUUUCUCAGAACCCAGCCGUGAGAAGCUCAAGACACAAGAAAUCCAUGCAUAGGUGCCUUCAUCAUAACCCCAGCUAAGCCUGCUGCUGACAGCCAGCGUCACUGUUAGCCGUGUGAUGAGCAGCCCUGGAUGUCUAGUCCAGCUGAGCCUUCUGGUAACUCCAGCCCCAGCUGCCAUCUGAUUGGAACCAUGGGAGGCAGUUUAAGGGAAUGCCUUCUAACCUAGACAACAUACAGAACCAUGAGCUACAUUAAAAAACUGUUUCAAACCAAUGCAUUUGAAUUUUGUUAUGCAGUAAUAGAUACCUGAAAAACUUGGCUACCAAAUUUCCAGCUCUGCAAGAGCAAUUAGGAAGACUAAUUGAGGUAAGACCUGAAAGCAGUAGGAACUGGAAGUUAAAUUUGAGGGAAGGAACAGAGACCAUUAAAAUCAAAAGAAGAAAUCAAAACACAGCAGUUGGAGACCAUUUAGCAGGAAGAGAGGGGAGAAAACUGCCAAACCCAGCACUAGGCUCCUCACAGUAAACAUUACUAAAUUACAUCACUUAAGAAUCAUGUAUUCAUGACAGCUUGAAGUUAGAAGAAAGAUUACAUUCUCAUCAGCACAUUAUUGGAGAACCCAAGGAG